rnacentral:rRNA from 1 species
GACGAACGCUGGCGGCGUGCUUAACACAUGCAAGUCGAACGGAAAGGCCCUGCUUUUGUGGGGUGCUCGAGUGGCGAACGGGUGAGUAACACGUGAGUAACCUGCCCUUGACUUUGGGAUAACUUCAGGAAACUGGGGCUAAUACCGGAUAGGAGCUCCUGCUGCAUGGUGGGGGUUGGAAAGUUUCGGCGGUUGGGGAUGGACUCGCGGCUUAUCAGCUUGUUGGUGGGGUAGUGGCUUACCCAGGCUUUGACGGGUAGCCGGCCUGAGAGGGUGAACGGCGACAUGGGGACUGAGAGACGGACCAGACUCCUACGGGAGGCAGCAGUGGGGAAUAUUGCACAAUGGGCGGAAGCCUGAGGCAGCAACGCCGCGUGCGGGAUGACGGCCUUCGGGUUGUAAACCGCUUUCGCCUGUGACGAAGCGUGAGUGACGGUAAUGGGUAAAGAAGCACCGGCUAACUACGUG